AAGUCGUAACAAGGUUUCCGUAGGUGAACCUGCGGAAGGAUCAUUAACACGUAUCCAAACGUUAAACGUUCGGCGAUGAUUUACCAGGGAUUGCUGCUUUUUCUAACGGACGUACGAGUACGACUGAAGGUUCACAGGGGGAGUUUUCGAUUCAGGGACGUCUGCAAGGAGCGUGCAUGUUGUGCGUGUAAGUGGCCUGGCAUCCCCAAGCAGUUAGUGUCUGAAAGUGUCACUAACGUUAGUGUCUGAAAGUGUCACUAACAUGUGUAAGGAUGACGCAGUCACGAUCGUUGGAGGCCCACACGGCCGACGACCGGGUCACUGGGUGCAAGCCCCCUUAUCACACCCCUGCUCUAUCUAUGGUGAUCCUGCGGGAAGUCCUGCGGUCGAACGCCGAAACCGAACAACUGUUAACAAUGGAUAUCUUGGUUCUC
rnacentral:misc_RNA from 1 species